GCCUUACGGCUGAAAGGCCGACGUAGCGAUACGGAGCGAGAAGUCAGCAGAGGCCGUAGUAGCUGCCAACAGUGAGCGAAGGGC
rfam:Nitrospirae bacterium RBG_19FT_COMBO_55_12 rbg_19ft_combo_scaffold_4463, whole genome shotgun sequence.